CCUACGGGAGGCUGCAGUGAGGAAUAUUGGUCAAUGGCCGUAAGGCUGAACCAGCCAAGUCGCGUGAGGGAUGAAGGUCCUAUGGAUUGUAAACCUCUUUUGUCCGGGGAUAAAGUCUGCCACGUGUGCCUGUUUGAAUGUACCUGAUGAAAAAGCAUCGGCUAACUCCGUGCCAGCAGCCGCGGUAAUACGGAGGAUGCGGGCGUUAUCCGGAUUUAUUGGGUUUAAAGGGUGCGUAGGCGGGAUUGUAAGUCCGCGGUGAAAGUCUGUGGCUCAACCAUGGGCGUGCCGUGGAACCUGGCGGGCUUGAGAGGGCGGGAGGCAGGCGGAAUGCGUGGUGUAGCGGUGAAAUGCUUAGAUAUCACGAAGAACCCCGAUUGCGAAGGCAGCAUGCCGGCGCCUGACUGACGCUGAGGCACGAAAGCGUGGGUAUCGAACAGGAUUAGAUACCCGGGUAGUC
rnacentral:rRNA from 1 species